UACGUAGGGCGCAAGCGUUAUCCGGAAUUAUUGGGCGUAAAGAGCUCGUAGGCGGUUUGUCGCGUCUGCCGUGAAAGUCCGGGGCUCAACUCCGGAUCUGCGGUGGGUACGGGCAGACUAGAGUGAUGUAGGGGAGACUGGAAUUCCUGGUGUAGCGGUGGAAUGCGCAGAUAUCAGGAGGAACACCGGUGGCGAAGGCGGGUCUCUGGGCAGUAACUGACGCUGAGGAGCGAAAGCGUGGGAGCGAACAGG
rnacentral:rRNA from 1 species